AUGAGGGAUAUUGCACAAUGGGGGAAACCCUGAUGCAGCGACGCCGCGUGGGUGAGGAAGUCCUUCGGGAUGUAAAGCCCUUUUCUGGGGGACGAAUGUCGGGAGCAAUCCCGGCUUGACGGUACCCCAGGAAGAAGCCCCGGCUAACUACGUGCCAGCAGCCGCGGUAAUACGUAGGGGGCAAGCGUUGUCCGGAUUUACUGGGCGUAAAGCGCGUGUAGGUGGGAAGGCAAGUCCGGUGUAAAAGCCCACGGCUCAACCGUGGAAGGUCGCUGGAAACUGCCUUUCUUGAGGGUGAUAGAGGGAAGUGGAAUUGCCGGUGUAGCGGUGAAAUGCGUAGAUAUCGGCAGGAACACCCGUGGCGAAGGCGGCUUCCUGGAUCACCCCUGACGCUGAGACGCGAAAGCGUGGGGAGCGAACGGGAUUAGAUACCCUUGUAGUCC
rnacentral:rRNA from 1 species